AUGCGUUACAGGGGUCAUCGAAGAAAAGCUGACCGUAGUAAUGGAUUCAAACUGCUAAAGGUGAUGCAGUUCAAAUAUACGUCAGUCUUACAUCCUGCUUUUCUCCUGGAACCAACGAAUGGACUGCGGCUAACAUUUGAACCGGAUGCUGUGCCAGCACUCCGACAGCUCCGUCUUGGCUUGAGCCCAAUGUGGGUGGCGUCCGACUUUUUUGCAUACUUGGGUGCCGAGCAUUUUUCAGGCCUUGCACACCUCGAGGUCGAAUUUGACUGUUACAGAGCAGCUCCAGGCAGGUUGGAGGCUUUGGAGUCUUCCGUUGAAAAAGCAAUCAACUUGCACUCCGACUGUGAGAUUCGUGUCCAUAGAGUCAGUGAACAUGGCAUGUUUAAGGAUGAAAAGGAAUGGGAAGAGGCCGUCGCAGAAGACAGAAAGAGGGUGGAAAAGAUUGAGCUAUUGAGCUAUUAA
rnacentral:rRNA from 1 species